UACGGAGGGUGCAAGCGUUACUCGGAAUCACUGGGCGUAAAGAGCGCGUAGGCGGGAUAGCAAGUCAGAUGUGAAAUCCUAUGGCUUAACCAUAGAACUGCAUUUGAAACUGUUAUUCUAGAGUAUGGGAGAGGUAGGUGGAAUUCUUGGUGUAGGGGUAAAAUCCGUAGAGAUCAAGAGGAAUACUCAUUGCGAAGGCGACCUGCUAGAACAUAACUGACGCUGAUGCGCGAAAGCGGUGGGGAGCAAACAGG
rnacentral:rRNA from 1 species